rnacentral:rRNA from 1 species
AUUGAACACUGGCGGCAUGCCUUACACAUGCAAGUCGAACGGCAGCGGACCUUCGGGUGCCGGCGAGUGGCGAACGGGUGAGUAAUGCAUCGGAACGUACCUUUCAGUGGGGGAUAACGUAGCGAAAGUUACGCUAAUACCGCAUAUUCUGUGAGCAGGAAAGCAGGGGAUCGCAAGACCUUGCGCUGAUUGAGCGGCCGAUGUCAGAUUAGCUAGUUGGUGAGGUAAAGGCUCACCAAGGCGACGAUCUGUAGCGGGUCUGAGAGGAUGAUCCGCCACACUGGGACUGAGACACGGCCCAGACUCCUACGGGAGGCAGCAGUGGGGAAUUUUGGACAAUGGGGGCAACCCUGAUCCAGCCAUGCCGCGUGAGUGAAGAAGGCCUUCGGGUUGUAAAGCUCUUUCGGCCGGGAAGAAAUCGCACAGGCUAAUACCUUGUGUGGAUGACGGUACCGGAAUAAGAAGCACCGGCUAACUACGUGCCAGCAGCCGCGGUAACAC